AAACCAACCGGGAUUGCCUCAGUAACGGCGAGUGAAGCGGCAAAAGCUCAAAUUUGAAAUCUGGCACUUUCAGUGUCCGAGUUGUAAUUUGUAGAAGUAGUUUUGGGACUGGUCCUUAUCUAUGUUUCUUGGAACAGGACGUCAUAGAGGGUGAGAACCCCGUAUGAUGAGGCCCCCAGUCCUUUGUAAAACGCUUUCGAAGAGUCGAGUUGUUUGGGAAUGCAGCUCUAAGUGGGUGGUAAAUUCCAUCUAAAGCUAAAUAUUGGCGAGAGACCGAUAGCGAACAAGUACAGUGAUGGAAAGAUGAAAAGAACUUUGAAAAGAGAGUGAAAAAGUACGUGAAAUUGUUGAAAGGGAAGGGCAUUUGAUCAGACAUGGUGUUUUGCGCCCUUUGCUCCUUGUGGGCGAGGAUACGCAGCUCACUGGGCCAACAUCAGUUUUGGAGCAGGAUAAAUCUGUAGGACGUAGCUUUCUUCGGGAAGUGUUAUAGCCUAUGGGAAUACUGCUAACCUGGGA
rnacentral:rRNA from 1 species